GUGGUUGUUUUCGAAUUUUGUCCCCAGCCAUCAGUAUUAGGGUUUUAAACCCUAAACUGAAUUUUUCCUUCGAUCAGCAUUAGGGUUUUAAACAAUAAACUGAAUUUUCCUUUUAGUCAGCAUUAGGGUUUUAAACCCUAAACUGAACUUUUUCCAUUCAGCCAGCAUUAAGGUUUUAAACCUUAAACUGAGCUUUUCCAUGCAAUCAGCAUUAGGGUUUUAAACCCUAAACUGAACUUUUUCCUUUUAGUCAGCAUUAGGGUUUUAAACCCUAAACUGAACUUUUUCCAUUCAGCCAGCAUUAGGGUUUUAAACCCUAAACUAAGCUUUUCCAUGCAAUCAGCAUUAGGGUUUUAAACCCUAAACUGAAUUUUCCUUUUAAUCAGCAUUAGGGUUUUAAACCCUAAACUGAACUUUUUCCAUUCAGCCAGCACUAGGGUUUUAAACCCUAAACUGAGCUUUUCCAUGCAAUCAGCAUUAGGGUUUUAAACCCUAAACUGAACUUUUUCCUUUUAGUCAGCAUUAGGGUUUUAAACCCUAAACUGAACUUUUCCUUUCAGUCAGCAUUAGGGUUUUAAACCCUAAAUUGCACUUUUUCCUUUAAUCAGCAUUAGGGUUUUAAACCCUAAACUGAAUUUUUCCUUCCAGUCAGCAUUAGGGUUUUAAACCCUAAACUGAACCUUUUUCCUUCAGUCAGCAUUAGGGUUUUAAACCCUAAACUGAACUUUUUCCUUUCAGCCAGCAUUAGGGUUUUAAACCCUAUACUGAGCUUUUACUUGCAAUCAGCAUUAGGGUUUUAAACCCUAAACUAAAUUUUUCCUUUUAGUCAGCAUUAGGGUUUUAAACCCUAAACUGAACUUUUUCUUUAGUCAGCAUUAGGGUUUUAAACCCUAAACUGAACUCUUUCAUUCAGCCAGCAUUAG
rnacentral:lncRNA from 1 species